UCCCAAAUUGUUGAGUUCAGUCCAGGGCUGCCAUCCCUGUUCUGGUAAUUAAACUUGGGGACAGCAACUAGCUGGAAGAUGUCAGAGGUGGGAAGUUCUGCUUUCUGCCAUUUCCUUCUCCCAGCCCACAAAA